GAUGAACGCUGGCGGCGUGCCUAAUACAUGCAAGUCGAGCGAACAGAUGAGGAGCUUGCUCCUCUGACGUUAGCGGCGGACGGGUGAGUAACACGUGGAUAACCUACCUAUAAGACUGGGAUAACUUCGGGAAACCGGAGCUAAUACCGGAUAAUAUAUUGAACCGCAUGGUUCAAUAGUGAAAGACGGUUUUGCUGUCACUUAUAGAUGGAUCCGCGCCGCAUUAGCUAGUUGGUAAGGUAACGGCUUACCAAGGCAACGAUGCGUAGCCGGCCUGAGAGGGUGAUCGGCCACACUGGAACUGAGACACGGUCUAGACUCCUACGGGAGGCAGCAGUAGGGAAUCUUCCGCAAUGGGCGAAAGCCUGACGGAGCAACGCCGCGUGAGUGAUGAAGGUCUUCGGAUCGUAAAACUCUGUUAUUAGGGAAGAACAAAUGUGUAAGUAACUAUGCACGUCUUGACGGUACCUAAUCAGAAAGCCACGGCUAACUACGUG
rnacentral:rRNA from 1 species